GCACCCUUACAUUAUUAAAAAAAAAAAUACAACGUGUGAGAUAAAUAAUACGUUCACAAGGCUAUCUUAAGUGGUCUGCAGGAGUUCUGAUGCCCCUGUACUUACUAACAGAAAGUAACUCAUUGUAGAUUACUCGCGCUUAAAAAUGUUAAAUACAGUUAAUGCAAUAUUAAUCGCCCUUUGGUGAUAUAAAAUGCAAUAUUUUCAGGCAGCUAUUGAGCUUUUCCAGAGGAAGGGCGAUGAGAAGAGUCGCAGCUGAAUAGUGGGAGAAAAAGCCUGGUAUUUAUUGCUUUUGUUUGGCUUUUGGCUACAGAGACAGGAACCUUCUAAUGGGGAGACAAAUUUGGUUGGUAGGCCAAAGAGCUCACAAGGACCAACACCCCUCCCCCCUUCGAGGGUCAGGAAUCAGCUUGAAGCACAAGGAUCUUCAUUUACUAGGUUCAGUGAAGGUCUCUGCAGAGCAACCCAGGGAAGACCCUAUGACAAGGAAAAUGUAGCAAAAUAAAAUCCUAUACAUGUGACUCACAGGUCAAACACGUGAUUAGACCGAUAGGAAGAACAUGGAGUUAAAUGAGAAGGAGAUACAGAGACCUACAACGGACAUGAUGCAUAGUGAGAUACCUUGGAACACUCAGCCCUAAGAGGGAUGACUCCAUUCAUCCUUCUCCUCACGGCUCAGGGAACCUGUGGAAGAGGGGCAGAAAGAGCCAGAGACGACAGAGGACACUGAGAAAGCAAGACCCUAUAAAUCAACAUGAGUAAAGCUCACAUAACUUACAAAGACUGGAGCAGUGCGCACAGGGCUUGUGGUAGUCUGCACCAGGUCCGUGGCACAUAAUGAUGCUUGUUUGUUUGUCUUGCCCAACUCUGUUAGUUUCUUUUUUUAUUUAACUAGUACGAUUAUAGUACAUCAUUAUACUUAUUACCCCUUAGAAGCCUGUUUGUUUUCUAGUGAGAGACCGAAAGGUAGAGGAUGAAGAUGAGAGGAGAGGUGGAGAGAGACUUGGAGGAGUAGAGGGGAGGGAAGCCAUAAUCAGCAUAUUCUAGAUGAGAAAAUAAAUCCAUUUUCAAUGAAAGAAAAAAAUAUGGAAAUUCCCUCCUGUGAUGGUUUGCCUAUGCUUGGCCCAGGGAGUGGCACUGU
rnacentral:sRNA from 1 species